GGCAAUUCGGCGAUUUCCACAGGGAGGCUGAAUUUAAGAUUUCAACUUCGGUUCUCUUCUUCCUCCCCCUUUUUCUUUUAUUUUUCUGUUUUUAAUUCAGCCAAUGAGUGGCUGAUUUCUUUAACUCUAGUUGAUGAUUGGUUGAAACUAAGGUUGUUUAAUGGGUUGUGAGAUCUGAACAUAAAUUAUUGUCUUUGGUUUUGUUCAAUAUUCAUGCAAUUGAUGCUUUAAUUAUAUGAUUACUUUGUUGUUUUGAUCAAAUUGGCCACUUGAUUUUAA
rnacentral:lncRNA from 1 species